GAUGAACGCUAGCGGCAGGCUUAAUACAUGCAAGUCGAACGGGAAUUGGGUAGCAAUACCUGAUGAUAGUGGCGCACGGGUGCGUAACGCGUAUGCAACCUACCUUUAACAGGGGGAUAGCCCGGAGAAAUUCGGAUUAAUACCCCAUAGUAUUAUGGAGAGGCAUCUUUUCAUGAUUAAAGUUCCGGCGGUUAAAGAUGGGCAUGCGUGCCAUUAGCUAGUUGGUGAGGUAACGGCUCACCAAGGCGACGAUGGUUAGGGGUCCUGAGAGGGUUAUCCCCCACACUGGUACUGAGACACGGACCAGACUCCUACGGGAGGCAGCAGUAAGGAAUAUUGGUCAAUGGGCGGAAGCCUGAGCCAGCCAUGCCGCGUGCAGGAAGACGGCCUUAUGGGUUGUAAACUGCUUUUGUCAGGGAAUAAACCCUCGUUUGCGAACGAGGCUGAAGGUACCUGAAGAAUAAGCAUCGGCUAACUCCGUGCCAGCAGCCGCGGUAAAACGUG
rnacentral:rRNA from 1 species